rnacentral:rRNA from 1 species
AGAAAACUACNAGCNAAAAGNUUAAAACUCAAAGGACUUGGCGGUGCUUCAUACCNACUUAGAGGAGCCUGUCCUAUAANCGAUNCUCCCCNCUAAACCCGACCAAUCUUUGCCAAAUCAGCCUAUAUACCGCCGUCGCCAACCUACCUCAUGAGAGAAAAACNGUAAGUACAAAAGUUUCAAUAACUAAAACGUCAGGUCAAGGUGUGCUAAUAG